rnacentral:rRNA from 1 species
CUGCGGAGGGAUCAUUACACAAAUAUGAAGGCGGGCUGGAACCUCUCGGGGUUACAGCCUUGCUGAAUUAUUCACCCUUGUCUUUUGCGUACUUCUUGUUUCCUUGGUGGGUUCGCCCACCACUAGGACAAACAUAAACCUUUUGUAAUUGCAAUCAGCGUCAGUAACAAAUUAAUAAUUACAACUUUCAACAACGGAUCUCUUGGUUCUGGCAUCGAUGAAGAACGCAGCGAAAUGCGAUAAGUAGUGUGAAUUGCAGAAUUCAGUGAAUCAUCGAAUCUUUGAACGCACAUUGCGCCCUUUGGUAUUCCAAAGGGCAUGCCUGUUCGAGCGUCAUUUGUACCCUCAAGCUUUGCUUGGUGUUGGGCGUCUUGUCUCUAGCUUUGCUGGAGACUCGCCUUAAAGUAAUUGGCAGCCGGCCUACUGGUUUCGGAGCGCAGCACAAGUCGCACUCUCUAUCAGCAAAGGUCUAGCAUCCACUAAGCCUUUUUUUCAACUUUUGACCUCGGAUCAGGUAGGGAUACCCGCUGAACUUAAGCAUAUCAUAG